rnacentral:rRNA from 1 species
GUCGUGGGGCAGCAGCUUUGUAGCAAUACAGAGGCUGGCGACCGGCAAACGGGUGUGGAACACGUACACAACCUUCCUUCAAGUGGGGAAUAGCCCAGGGAAACUUGGAUUAAUACCCCUUAAUAUUAUAGAGUGGCA